AUUGAACGCUGGCGGCAGGCCUAACACAUGCAAGUCGAACGGUAACAGGAAGAAGCUUGCUUCUUUGCUGACGAGUGGCGGACGGGUGAGUAAUGUCUGGGAAACUGCCUGAUGGAGGGGGAUAACUACUGGAAACGGUAGCUAAUACCGCAUAACGUCGCAAGACCAAAGAGGGGGACCUUCGGGCCUCUUGCCAUCGGAUGUGCCCAGAUGGGAUUAGCUAGUAGGUGGGGUAACGGCUCACCUAGGCGACGAUCCCUAGCUGGUCUGAGAGGAUGACCGGCCACCCUGGAACUGAGACACGGUCCAGACUCCUACGGGAGGCAGCAGUGGGGAAUAUUGCACAAUGGGCGCAAGCCUGAUGCAGCCAUGCCGCGUGUAUGAAGAAGGCCUUCGGGUUGUAAAGUACUUUCAGCGGGGAGGAAGGGAGUAAAGUUAAUACCUUUGCUCAUUGACGUUACCCGCAGAAGAAGCACCGGCUAACUCCGUG
rnacentral:rRNA from 1 species